rnacentral:rRNA from 1 species
GAUGAACGCUGGCGGCGUGCCUAAUACAUGCAAGUCGAGCGAACAGACGAGGAGCUUGCUCCUCUGACGUUAGCGGCGGACGGGUGAGUAACACGUGGAUAACCUACCUAUAAGACUGGGAUAACUUCGGGAAACCGGAGCUAAUACCGGAUAAUAUAUUGAACCGCAUGGUUCGAUGGUGAAAGACGGUUUUGCUGUCACUUAUAGAUGGAUCCGGGCGGCAUGAGCUGGUUGGUAAGGUAACGGGUUACCAAGGCGACGAUGCGUAGCCGACCGGAGAGGGUGAUCGGCCACACUGGAACUGAGACACGGUCCAGACUCCUACGGGAGGCAGCAGUAGGGAAUCUUACGCAAUGGGCGAAAGCCUGACGGAGCAACGCCGCGUGAGUGAUGAAGGUCUUCGGAUCGUAAAACUCUGUUAUUAGGGAAGAACAAAUGUGUAAGGAAAUAUGGACGUCGUGACGGUACCUAAUCAGAAAGCAACGGCUAACUACGUG